GCAGAAAGAAGAUCUAGUUGUCUUUUUCUGCUUCUACUGACUGAAGUCCUCUAAAAUGUCAUUAGGAUCAGAGCCAUUCAAAAAAAAUUCUUUUGCAAAAAUAGUUGGAACAUUUAUAAGGAAUUAGCUUGUAUUAUGAAAAGCAAGAUAGCAAUACAUUAACUUUCUGACAAUAUCUCUAAUUCGUGUUUAUUUUAUUUCUCAUUGAUUUAUUGCCAUAAGUCUCUUGGCUCUCUCCCAAACAUCUCCUGGCAACAGAGUCAACCAAAUUAAUUUUUUCCAAGAAAAGAUCUACUAUGGAACUUUUGAUAAGAAACUGGUCAGCCGUUCUGAGAGUGGUGGAAAGCCUGUCAAGGUCACUACCAAGGACAAGAGAGUCAAUUAGUAUGCAGAUCAGAGCCAAGGAGUUCAAAGGUGUGAUGGCAGAUUAA
rnacentral:lncRNA from 1 species